rnacentral:rRNA from 1 species
UACGGGAGGCAGCAGUGGGGAAUAUUGCACAAUGGGCGCAAGCCUGAUGCAGCCAUGCCGCGUGUAUGAAAAAGGCCUUCGGGUUGUAAAGUACUUUCAGUCGUGAGGAAGGUGUUAAGGUUAAUAACCUUAGCAAUUGACGUUAGCGACAGAAGAAGCACCGGCUAACUCCGUGCCAGCAGCCGCGGUAAUACGGAGGGUGCGAGCGUUAAUCGGAAUUACUGGGCGUAAAGGGCACGCAGGCGGUUAAUUAAGUUGGAUGUGAAAUCCCCGGGCUUAACCUGGGAAUGGCAUUCAAGACUGGUUAGCUAGAGUCUUGUAGAGGGGGUAGAAUUCCAUGUGUAGCGGUGAAAUGCGUAGAGAUGUGGAGGAAUACCGGUGGCGAAGGCGGCCCCUGGGACAAAGACUGACGCUCAUGUGCGAAAGCGUGGGGAGCAAACGAGGGAUUAGAUACC